AGCUCGCCCCCCGCGAGCGGGAAAACGGGAGCAGAGAAAGAGAGGGAGAGGAGGAAGAGGGGUGAGGGGAGAAGCGGGAAGACUGGAGAGGACGAAGAGGAGAAUCAGGGAGAGAGAGCAGUGAGAGAGGGGAAUUUGGAUUUCCAUUUUCUUGUUUUACAGAGCAAAGUAUAAGUGUGGGAAAAGAAGGGGAAUCCGGGGAGUCGGUCGGAGAAGGGCCGCGAUGAUGAAGGCGUCGGAUGGAAUAUACCGGUCGCCGCUCGACAAGCCCUUGAGGGAGCUGACGGAGGAGGACAUCUCUCAGGUCACCCGUGAAGAUUGCCGCAGAUACCUCAAGGAGAAAGGAAUGCGGCGGCCGUCCUGGAACAAGUCUCAGGCGAUUCAGCAGGUGCUCUCUCUCAAAUCCCUCUUCGAGACGUGGCCCGGGAAGCAGGAAUCCGGCAGCCGGAAAUCGCCGUCGAUCGCAUCCGGCGGACCAUGCCCUCCGGAUAGUGCCGGAGAAGGUGCAGCUAAUCUUUCUGAGGGUUCGCGUUCCGGCAGAGACGACAGACCACCCGUACAGACGGACUCGGAAUCGCCGGCGGUGGCGCCGGAAACGUCGACGCAGCAGGCGCCACUGUUUCCGUUGUUUUGCCCCAGAGUAGCUGAUCUACAAGGCGACAGAUCGGCCGAUGGCAUCGGAUUGUGGGAACCUGCCGGCGAUGUCCCUAGGUCCUCGACUAAGGAGAGCGCGACACAGAUGACCAUCUUCUAUGGUGGGAUGGUUAACGUCUACGACGACGUGUCGACAGAGAAGGCCCGAUUCGUCAUGCUGUUCGCGGACAGCCCCGACUGCAUGCCCCACGUGACGGCGAGCCCCCACACCUCCGCCUUCCCCGCCAGGCGAACCAGGCCGCCCUCGCCCCCUCCAACGACCCUUCCCCCGCCCUCCGCUUCCUCGCCCACCGAUGGUCCCAAGACGAGGAAGGAAUCGGUGCAGCGGUUCUUGGAGAAGCGGAAGGAGCGGGGACGGCUGAAGGUCGGGUGUGGCCGGCCGAAGUCGACGUCGGGACUGGAGUCCUAUCUGACUCAGCAAAUUCGGGAUUGCACUAGGAAUACGAGAUCCGGAACAGAAGAUACAUGCUCACCCACCAACCCGGUUCCGCCCUCAACGCCCAGCCGAAGCUGGUCCUUUAAGCCCGUACUCUCCGGCGACCUCAAUAACGACGACGAGUUUCAGGAGAUCGCGACGUAGGCAUGACACGUGUGUCCUCGGGUUCUUAAUAGCGCGGAUCCCCGCGGUUGGAACAGUAUGACGUCGCCUCAGGAGUGUACGGCUUCUUCCUCGGAGACCAUCUCUUAUCGGGUAGCGCGAAAGCGUUUCUGUUUUUCCUCCUGUUUUUUUGACUGAACUGGGGGCCCCAGCCCGCUGCAGAAAGGGGGUUGUCCGUUCCUGCUCGCCCUGGGAGUGAAGGGAUUCGGCUGUCCAGAAUGUGGAUCACGGACGCGGCCCCUCUUCCGUUUGUUUUCUAAGUUCCGACUUGUGACGCACAGCGUCUCCCAAUGCCCUGUAUUUACUUCGUUCCUCCUCACUGAUUUCCUUUUCAGUGAAGUUGUCUCCAGCAAUUGGGCCCGGCAACGGUGAAUGCGUCCUGCCCAGCUGACUUGUUUCUACAGGUCCAAACAUUGCUAACCUUCUCUAUCCCGAACCAAUUCUCUUGCGGAAAUGGAAGUGGCGAUUCCAGCCGGCUUUGUCUAACCGGGUUCUACAGUUGUCUAAUGUGACUGUCGUAGUGUUGUUAAGUUCCCGGCCCUGUUUGGAUCACAUAGAAAUAGCACAGGCCUGAAUGUCGGUACCUUAUUUCACGUAGAAAUAGGGGCACAGACCUAAAUAGCAGGCCUUGGUUCAAGUGGAUGAAGAACACGAACAUAGUGCGUUUC